GCCCAGACUCCUACGGGAGGCAGCAGUGGGGGAUAUUGCACAAUGGGGGAAACCCUGAUGCAGCGACGCCGCGUGAGUGAAGAAGUAUUUCGGUAUGUAAAGCUCUAUCAGCAGGGACGAAAAUGACGGUACCUGAGUAAGAAGCCCCGGCUAACUACGUGCCAGCAGCCGCGGUAAUACGUAGGGGGCAAGCGUUAUCCGGAUUUAUUGGGUUUAAAGGGUGCGCAGGCGGCGUGCCAAGCAAGCGGUAAAAUAGCGGGGCUCAACCCCGUCGAGCCGUUUGAACUGGCGCGCUUGAGUUCAGGCGAGGUAGGCGGAAUUCGUGGUGUAGCGGUGAAAUGCAUAGAUAUCACGAAGAACUCCGAUUGCGAAGGCAGCUUACCAGGCUGCGACUGACGCUCAGGCACGAAAGUGUGGGUAUCGAACAGGAUUAGAUACCCUAGUAA
rnacentral:rRNA from 1 species